AGUUUAUGGGGCAGGCUUUUUGGACAGGGGUUCGACUCCCCUCGUCUCCACCA
rnacentral:tmRNA from 1 species